rnacentral:rRNA from 1 species
AUUGAACGCUGGCGGAAUGCUUUACACAUGCAAGUCGAACGAUGAACCUUAGCUUGCUUAGGGGAUUAGUGGCGAACGGGUGAGUAAUAUAUCGGAACGUGCCUUGUAAUGGGGGAUAACUAGUCGAAAGAUUAGCUAAUACCGCAUACGCCCUGAGGGGGAAAGUAGGGGAUCUUCGGACCUUACGUUAUAAGAGCGGCCGAUAUCUGAUUAGCUAGUUGGUGGGGUAAUGGCCUACCAAGGCGACGAUCAGUAGCUGGUCUGAGAGGACGACCAGCCACACUGGAACUGAGACACGGUCCAGACUCCUACGGGAGGCAGCAGUGGGGAAUUUUGGACAAUGGGUGCAAGCCUGAUCCAGCCAUUCCGCGUGAGUGAAGAAGGCCUUCGGGUUGUAAAGCUCUUUCGCAAGGGAAGAAAACUUACCAUCGAAUAAAUGGUGAGGCUGACGGUACCUUGAUAAGAAGCACCGGCUAACUACGUG